rnacentral:rRNA from 1 species
CCCUUAGAUGUUCUGGGCCGCACGCGCGCUACACUGACGAAUGCAACGAGCUUAUAACCUUGGCCGAAAGGUCUGGGUAAUCUCCAAAUUUCGUCGUGAUGGGGAUAGAUUAUUGCAAUUAUAAAUCUUCAACGAGGAAUGCCUAGUAAGCGCAAGUCAUCAGCUUGCGUUGAUUACGUCCCUGCCCUUUGUACACACCGCCCGUCGCUCCUACCGAUUGAAUGGUCCGGUGAAGCGUUCGGACCGUGGCCUUUGGACGGUUCGCCGUCUGUUGGCUGCGGGAAGUUCGUUAAACCUUAUCAUUUAGAGGAAGGAGAAGUCGUAACA